UACGAAGGGGGCUAGCGUUGCUCGGAAUCACUGGGCGUAAAGCGCACGUAGGCGGAUUGUUAAGUCAGGGGUGAAAUCCUGGAGCUCAACUCCAGAACUGCCUUUGAUACUGGCGAUCUUGAGUCCGGGGAGAGGUGAGUGGAACUCCGAGUGUAGAGGUGAAAAUUCGUAGAUAUUCGGAAGAACACCAGUGGCGAAGGCGGCUCACUGGCCCGGUAUGACGCUGAUGUGCGAAAAAGCGUGGGGGGAGC
rnacentral:rRNA from 1 species